rnacentral:rRNA from 1 species
AACGAACGCUGGCGGCGUGCCUAACACAUGCAAGUCGUGCGAGAAAGUUCCUUCGGGAGCGAGUAAAAGCGGCGCACGGGUGAGUAACACGUAGGUAACCUGCCCCCCAGUCUGGAACAACUAGAGGAAACUCUAGCUAAUGCCGGAUGAGACCACGAUCCCUUCGGGGGUUGCGGGCCAAAGAUGGCCUCUACUUGUAAGCUAUCGCUGAGGGAUGGGCCUGCGGGCCAUUAGCUUGUUGGUGAGGUAACGGCUCACCAAGGCUGUGAUGGCUAGCUGGUCUGAGAGGAUGACCAGCCACACUGGGACUGAGACACGG